CAUGGAGAGAAAAAGAGGAGAAAAUCCUCUCAAGAACAAGGAUGCAAUGUAGCUAAAUCAAGGUCCAAAUCGAAUGAAAAACGUUGCAUGAAUGAAGAUUUCUCAUCAUCUAGCCUUAAUAAACAUGUGGGUAUUGAUGAGUUAGAUGGAAACCCAUCUACGGGGGUGAGGGUGGCGACAUGGGUAUACUACCUAUGUCCAAGUCUUGUUGAAUACAUGAUUUAUUAUUAUGUGGUAUCAGUGAUUCUUGAUAGAAUGAAUGACUGUGAUAUGAGGGAAUACUUGUUUGUUGGUUGAAUAUGAUGAAAGGAAGUAUGCAUUAGGAAGAUUAUAGAGGAAAGGCUUGUAAAUAGGGUUGGAUUUGUGGCCGCGCGUCAAGUGUUCGAUGAAAUGCCAAGUAUAGAUUAUUAGGUGAAAUUGUAUACAAGAACCUACCUAAAUGAAUAGAAUGUUUUGAUUA